ACUUCUUUCAGUUGAAAUAAGUCGCUCUGGAUAAGAGCGUCUGCUAAAUGACGUAAA
rfam:Salmo salar isolate Sally breed double haploid chromosome ssa28, whole genome shotgun sequence.